GCCCUUAUAGCUCAGUUGGUAGAGCAUCUGAUUUGUAAUCAGAGGGUCGGGAGUUCGAGUCUCUCUGGGGGCA
rfam:Rhizobium sp. Root1212 contig_6, whole genome shotgun sequence.